UACAGGGGUGCAAACGUUGCUCGGAAUCAUUGGGCGUAAAGCGCACGUAGGCGGUUCGUUAUGUCGGAUGUGAAAGCCCUUGGCUUAACCGAGGAAGUGCAUCCGAAACUGGCGAGCUAGAGUACGAAAGAGGAUCGCGGAAUUCCUGGUGUAGCGGUGGAAUGCGCAGAUAUCAAGGAGGAACACCAUAGCGAAGGCAGCUCGCUGGAACGUACUGACGCUGAGACGCGAAAGCGUGGGGAGCAAACAGG
rnacentral:rRNA from 1 species